GACGAACGCUGGCGGCGUGCUUAACACAUGCAAGUCGAACGGAAAGGCCCUGCUUUUGUGGGGUGCUCGAGUGGCGAAAGGGUGAGUAACACGUGAGUAACCUGCCCUUGACUUUGGGAUAACUUCAGGAAACUGGGGCUAAUACCGGAUAGGAGCUCCUGCUGCAUGGUGGGGGUUGGAAAGUUUCGGCGGUUGGGGAUGGACUCGCGGCUUAUCAGCUUGUUGGUGGGGUAGUGGCUUACCAAGGCUUUGACGGGUAGCCGGCCUGAGAGGGUGACCGGCCACAUUGUGCCUGAGAUACGGCCCAGACUCCUACGGGAGGCAGCAGUGGGGAAUAUUGCACAAUGGGCGGAGUCCUGAUGCAGCAACGCCGCGUGCGGGAUGACUGUCUUCGGGUUGUAACCCGCUUUCGCCUGUGACGAAGCGUGAGUGACGGUAAUGGGUAAAGAAGCACCGGCUAACUACGUG
rnacentral:rRNA from 1 species